GUAAAAGUCGUAACAAGGUUCCUCGGACAUUAAAUUAAUCAAUAAUUUUUUACCAUACGGAAGCCUUGUAAGUGAUGGUCUGCUUUAUGCAGGCAACACUUGUACUGUCGCUGGAAAUAAUCCCUCAAUAUCGAGGUCAACCAGCUGCUGUAUGCUAAUGGCGUGCAGCCCACAGAUCAAACGCAAGUGGCCACGUACUAUUUUCUCCCAUCUCGACGUUUCAUCCGUCUCAGAUUUUCCCUUGUCGAACUGACCUUGAAGAGCUCUCUUUUCGACAACCAGGGUGAGACUAGAACGUUUCUUAUUAUACUGGAGAUAUUAGAUUGGUUCAGAUAUGACCGUAGCAAGCAUUGCAAAGUGCCUGAUGCCUAGUUCCGUAGGUGAACCUGCGGAAGGAUCAUUAAAGAGAAGGAAGUUUCGGCUUCCGGGGCUUCGGCCUCACCUCUUCACCCUAUGUUUACAUAUACCUCUGUUUCUUUGGCGAAUCUUGGGGUUUUCCCACGCCGAUAUAACUGUCGACGAGUAUUUGUCAGAGGCGUUUCUAUAAUUCUCGUUUUCAAUGCAGUCAGAGUAAACACAAAUGAACUAAAACUUUCAACAACGGAUCUCUUGGUUCUGGCAUCGAUGAAGAACGCAGCGAAAUGCGAUAAGUAAUGUGAAUUGCAGAAUUCAGUGAAUCAUCGAAUCUUUGAACGCACAUUGCGCUCCUCGGUAUUCCGGGGAGCAUGCCUGUUCGAGCGUCAUUGCACCUCUCAAGCGUAGCUUGGUAUUGAACAUGCGUCUUUAGCAGACGUGUUCGAAAAGGAGUGGCGGUUCAGUAUGACUUCAAGCGUAGUAAAUUUAUCCCGCUUUGGAAGAUUGUGCUUUGGCUUGCCGAAAUUACCCAUUUUCAAUGAUUGACCUCGGAUCAGGUAGGGAUACCCGCUGAACUUA
rnacentral:rRNA from 1 species